rnacentral:rRNA from 1 species
UACGUAGGUGGCAAGCGUUGUCCGGAAUUACUGGGCGUAAAGGGCUCGUAGGUGGCCAACUAAGUCAGACGUGAAAUCCCUCGGCUUAACCGGGGAACUGCGUCUGAUACUGGAUGGCUUGAGAUUGGGAGAGGGAUGCGGAAUUCCAGGUGUAGCGGUGAAAUGCGUAGAUAUCUGGAGGAACACCGGUGGCGAAGGCGGCAUCCUGGACCAACACUGACACUGAGGAGCGAAAGCCAGGGGAGCAAACGGG